AGACCCGUGCUCUUUCUCGGAAUUCGAGGCGCCCAGGGCAGCACGCACCCAGGCUGGAGAGGGACCCGGGCAGCUCGCGCGCUGCACUUACCUGAGCACCUGAGCGCGGCUCCCGCCUCAGCUUCGGGUGCGGCGCCGGCACAGACCGAGGGUCCCAGAGUAGCGGCGAAAGCUGCCUACUUGCGACCAAUCCCGGUGUUGAACCCGGUGCUCUGCCUGGUGCCGCGCUCCCCUCCCUCCUCACGCUCGCGGCUGCUCAAAAAACCCGGCGGCGCGGAGUUCAGGCUGCCGGCUCCCCAGCCCCGGAGGAGGGGGAGACGCGCGAGGAGGACGCGGGGGCGGGGGGCGGCGCGCGGGAACUGAGCAUGCUCAGUGCGCGGCCCGAGGAGGCGCGCGCCCCGGCGCUGCACCUGCCGGCCCUGCCCGCGGGGGAAGGGCCCGGCGCCCGGGAGCGGAGAUGUGGCAGGGUGCCUCGCCUGAGUCCCGGUCACCCGAUGAACCAUCAAGCCGAUGCCCGCGCCCUGCAGAGGAUAUGCUGCUUAGCGACGGGAAAUAAACCGCAUCGAUGCCGCCUUCUUUUCGAGUAUGGGGGCGCAAGGAGGCGCGACCUGCCCGGGUAUUCUAGUAGGUGCUGUGUGCAUGCGCCCUAAGUCGCUUCAGUCGUGUCGGACUUUUUGCGACCCCACACACUGUAAACCACGA
rnacentral:lncRNA from 1 species